rnacentral:rRNA from 1 species
UACGGAGGAGGCAAGCGUUAUCCGGAAUUAUUGGGCGUAAAGCGUCCGUAGGUGGCUCUUCAAGUCUGCUGUCAAAGAGUGGGGCUUAACCCUGCAAAGGCAGUGGAAACUGAAAGGCUAGAGAGCCGUAGGGGUAGAGGGAAUUCCCGGUGUAGCGGUGAAAUGCGUAGAGAUCGGGAAGAACAUCGGUGGCGAAAGCGCUCUACUGGACGGUAACUGACACUGAGGGACGAAAGCUAGGGGAGCGAAUGGG